UAACACCUACUGCACCGACUCAGUAGAACAAGAAACCUAGGUUUGUAACUCAAGCUCCUACUCAGGCUUCAGCAACAGGGCGCAGCAGGGCUUGCCAACACUGCGCCAAGGAUAAUGGGGACCGACCCUACUAUCGCAUCAAUAAUAUCUAUCGCAUAUGUGGAAGUACCCAACACUAUGCGAGAGAAUGCUCGUGAAAUCAGAAUCAAGUUAGACCUCCCAUUUAGGGCAGAGCUUACACCCUCAUUCAGCAGGAUGCUGAAGCCAAUCCGAACGUGAUACAGAGUAUGUACACUAUCUAUAAUUACCUUACACAUAUUUUGAUUGAUACUAGUAUUUUUCAUUCUUUUUGCCUCACAUACUUUUGUAAAAAAAUUUGAAUGUGUUACCUGAAAAUCUCGAUUAUGUACUAUUUAUGUCUAUUAUUGGGAAUGCAACACUAC
rnacentral:lncRNA from 1 species